GCCCUGUCAGCACACGAAGGACAGAGGGAAAACCGCUUCAGUAGCUGGAAGUCAGAAUCACGGAAAGGCUGCACGAAGCUAACAAAAAUCAGUGUUAUAAGAGGCUGAAUGGAGGAUUACAAACAGGCACCCCCUGGCCACCCUUCAAGUCUGCCCACGUGGAAGGACCCCACCACACCUGUGCAACCAGAGUCAUGAGAGCCAGCAGCUGACCAUGGAAAGCAGCUUCGUGGAGGGGGGACCUGUCUGCCCAAGAACCUGGGAGGUUCAGAAAAAUGCCAUAAAAACGUAUAAUAUUCAUAUGCAUAUUAACAAUGGACAGAGGUAUUGAAAUCCGCAUUCUGUUACUUUGUAUGGCCAUCUUACAAACUGGGCGAUUUUCCCAAGGCUGAAAAGAUUUCUGAACAAUGCAGUCAACCUCAAAGAAACACCGGAAACCCGGUUUCCUGACAGUACCUUGUUUUGCUUCGACUUGGGGAAGCGCUACGGACCCCACUCACCGCCCUGGAAGGCAUGGCAGAUAUAAUUCCCGUAGAGGUCGUAUCUGGAGUGCCAGGACAGGGCCGUCGUGCCGGCGACGUCGUGCCUCCUCAGCGACAUGCCGCAUGCAUGCUGGCCGAACGCAGUUUACCGGCUGCGGGUAGACGCCGAGCAGGCUUCCUGAGCCGUUCUUGGAGAUGUGCCAUCCUUUGGUAAGAUGAGCCGGCAGCGACCCCUGACAGGCGUGCUUGGCGAUCCCGAUCCUCAGCGUCCCCGGCUCGAAUCUCUUUGUUGAUUACACUUUAUUAUAUUAUAUUAACUCAGAGUAGCGUUACCAUAAUAAAGUUACCAUUGUAAAGUUCAAACAGUCUUCCACAAAUUCAUUUGAAAUGACCAACAAAACCACUGUACUUAAGAGAAGCUUUAGUGCAAUAUUUAUACACAUACUUAUAAAAAAUUACCACGAUUUGUACCAUUAGAGAACAUACUUUAUUAAUUUUUCUUUAAUGUUUUGGUACAGUAUCAAAAUCAAUGUUGCUUUCGUAUCACAACCACCUGCUCGACAACUUCACCUGAAGACUUUUUAAUAAACACUAUCAGAUCAUAUAACUAUGGUCCACAUACGUUCACAGAAUUUAACUUUUUUCUACUGUAAACAGUUCAGGUUGAAAUGGGAUGGUGGCAUCAAACACAUAAGGAAAAUAAAUUUAUAAGUGGAGUAAAAUGCAAACGGUACAAAUGAAUCAGGAAUUUACAUGAAAAUAAGUACAAAAGAAAAUGGCUGAAACGCGAUACAUCGAACCAAAGAAAUGGAAAAUUAUGAUUACGCAAUGGCAGCAACGACAGUGUAGUUUUUGACCAUUAUCUUUUCAUAAAAUUGCUUUUGUGAAAUCAACACAAUUUUUUUCCAUGUUUUUUUUUUUUUUUUUUUAGAAACACGCGCCAUGCUUAACGUUCCAGAAAUAAUCCCUCUAUUAAACGAACCCUUUCCUUGUGCUUUAGGCACCACAUAAGUAAUGCAAUUAUGUCAGAUGGCUGUACUGCAAAUUGUACAAAACUGGUGAGGGAACCGUGACCGCUAGGGGGCGAUGAGGUUUCAUUCACAGUGCACACGAAUUGUAGUCUUGUUCUCUACACAGCUUACAGUCGGAGUGGGAUCAUUUAACAUAUGUCGUAGACAUUCUACAGGGCUGUAAUGUAAACCGUUUUGUCAUGAAAUACAAUGUAAAACAGAGCAGAUUCCUUAAGAGAAAAAAUAAAUAUAGAAAAUAAACAGUGCAUACAAUCCUUCAUGGACUUUGCGACUAAAUUAAAUUAAAAUCACACUAAAUCUCUUCCAUUUUUAUACCGGCUGCUGCUUCAACCAAUGAAUCAGUAUAUCGAACCUCUUUACUGUCAUUAAAGCAAAACUGCACCAUCAUUGCAACUGCAAUUGGCAAGAGGGAUUGUUAAAUGAAAAAAAAAACAUGUUACACACAACUGCCUC